rnacentral:rRNA from 1 species
GAUGAACGCUAGCUACAGGCUUAACACAUGCAAGUCGAGGGGAAACGAUAGAGAAAGCUUGCUUUUUCUAGGCGUCGACCGGCGCACGGGUGAGUAACGCGUAUCCAACCUGCCCAUCACUUGGGGAUAACCUUGCGAAAGUAAGACUAAUACCCAAUGACGUCUCUAGAAGACAUCUGAAAGAGAUUAAAGAUUUAUCGGUGAUGGAUGGGGAUGCGUCUGAUUAGCUUGUUGGCGGGGUAACGGCCCACCAAGGCGACGAUCAGUAGGGGUUCUGAGAGGGGGGUCCCCCACAUUGGAACUGAGACACGGUCCAAACUCCUACGGGAGGCAGCAGUGAGGAAUAUUGGUCGAUGGGCGAGAGCCUGAACCAGCCAAGUAGCGUGCAGGAUGACGGCCCUAUGGGUUGUAAACUGCUUUUAUAAGGGAAUAAAGUGAGAGUCGUGACUCUUUUUGCAUGUACCUUAUGAAUAAGGACCGGCUAAUUCCGUGCCAGCAGCCGCAGUAA